rnacentral:rRNA from 1 species
CGUGGGUAACCUGCCUUAUAGUGGGGGAUAGCCUUUCGAAAGGAAGAUUAAUACCGCAUAAGAUUGUAGUAUCGCAUGAUAUAGCAAUUAAAGGAGCAAUUCGCUAUAAGAUGGACCCGCGUCGCAUUAGCUAGCUGGUGAGGUAAUGGCUCACCAAGGCGACGAUGCGUAGCCGACCUGAGAGGGUGAUCGGCCACAUUGGGACUGAGACACGGCCCAGACUCCUACGGGAGGCAAGCAUG